rnacentral:rRNA from 1 species
GACGAACGCUGGCGGCGUGCUUAACACAUGCAAGUCGAGCGGAGCGGCGGACGGGUGAGUAAUGCCUAGGAAUCUGCCUGGUAGUGGGGGAUAACGUCAGGAAACGGGCGCUAAUACCGCAUACUAUCAGAUGAGCCUAGGUCGGAUUAGCUAGUUGGUGGGGUAAAGGCCUACCAAGGCGACGAUCCGUAACUGGGCUGGGAGGGUGAUCAGUCACACUGGAACUGGGACACGGUCCAGACUCAUGCUGGAGGCGGCAGUGGGGAAUAAUGGACAAUGGGCGAAAGCCUGAUGCAGCGACGCCGCGUGGGGGAUGAAGGCUUUCGGGUUGUAAACCUCUUUCGCUAUCGAACGGGUAGGUGGAGAAGAAGCGCCGGCUAACUACGUGCCAGCAGCCGCGGUAAUAC